rnacentral:rRNA from 1 species
UACGUAGGGUGCGAGCGUUGUCCGGAAUUAUUGGGCGUAAAGGGCUCGUAGGCGGCCAACUAAGUCAGACGUGAAAUCCCUCAGCUUAACUGGGGAACUGCGUCUGAUACUGGAUGGCUUGGAUUCGGGAGAGGAAUGCGGAAUUCCAGGUGUAGCGGUGAAAUGCGUAGAUAUCUGGAGGAACACCGGUGGCGAAGGCGGCAUUCUGGACCGACAUUGACGCUGAGGAGCGAAAGCCAGGGGAGCAAACGGG